AAAAUUUAAUACCUUUAUCUGUGCUGUUUACCUUUUCCUAGAAAACACUACUCAUAGGAAAAACUUGCUAAGUCAACUCUGACAAAAAUAGCUUAUCAACAUUACUUCCAGCAUUAUGUAAUGGACUCGUCAUCAUAUGCUCUGACAGAUUAUUUUAGAACUGGCUAUACCUAAACAUCCAAAAGAACAUUCUUUGACUCACUAGAUGUUUUUGUUUUAUCUCAAGCUACCUACUACAAACACAACAAUACAUUCACCUCUUUUUUCAUGAUUACUGUCAGCUCUCUCAUUCUGCAAGAGCAUAAAGGAAAUGUUGUUCUAGACUGUGAAAAAGGAAUUUCUCUAAUACCAUAAGGGUUGAAACAAGAUGUACCCCAUUAAAACUGAACUCUUUCAAUUAGUCAGGAAAACAUUCCCUGACUAAUGACAAAAAAAAAAAAAAAAGAAGAAUAGCAACUUAAAUGCUGGGUGUGUUUUUCUGUUAAUGUAUCAUUUUAUAUUGAUUUUCAGACUAAAAGGCACCUAAGAUCAGGUGGUACCAGAACCAGUGUAGUGAUAUAGCUACAGUAGUGCUAUGCUUACUUGAGAAAACAAGCACCUCUACUGGCAGAGAUAACAUUCAUAACAUAACAUCUUUUUUCCCGAGCAUAUAUAUUUCUACAUUGCAAGGCAUCAUACACGAACACUAUUCAGGAAGCAAUGAAGUCAAUGAUCAACAUGAUUACAUCAUCAAAAGAUCAUAAGAAAGCUUUAAUUACAACAGAACGGAUGAAAAAAAAUAAUCAAAGCUAAUAAUAAAUGAAAGUUAAGUUCAUUAAAGUCUCCUGACACGCAUAUGGGCUUCACAGUUAAAUAAUAAUUCUUUCCAUUUAUAUAUGUUAGCAUGUCACUUAUGGCAGGUCUUUGAGAACAAAAUUUUCACAGAAGAUCCAACUACUGGCAGGAUGAACACAACUGUUGUGUGGAAAAUGAUCACUGUUCAUGAUGAUCUAUACAUUCAAAGUAACUAUCAGUAUUGCAACCAUGGCAUAAGUGAUAAUAAUUUUUUUAAGCCUCAAAUUCAUUAAUACUUUGUUCUCGAAAGAUGAACUUUUCUUUCCCCCCCAGUCUUGAUGUGCUCGCAACCGAAACCAAAGAUUUAUAUACUUCAAAACACUUCUCCAAAUGCACAUCUAUUAAAGUGUACACAAAAAAUCAGCCUGAGCAUGGCAUAUUUGAUUCUGCCACAACUUUAUUUUUUAAAGGAAAGAUUGCAAUGCCUGCUUAAAAACAAAAGGAAACCUAUUUUUGACUUCCAGGCCCUGUGAGGUCUAAUGUGCAUUGUGAUAACCAGUUGGCCUCGCUCUGAAAGGGCUAAAAACAACAACAAAAAAAAUUUAAACUACUUGUAUUUCUCCAGCGGUAAAACCAAAAUGUUGCCAGGUCUUCCUACAGCCAGGGUACUGGAUAAUUUAGGUUAAAAUAAAUGUUUAUUAAAAAACAGGGCGUUGAUUUCUUGGCAGCGGUGAAAAGCAGCAGACACCCCUAGUGUCGACGUAAAAUACUACACGACUCCAUACUGUAUCUCCAGGUUAAUUUUACAGCAGAAAAAAGGAAAUUUAAACCCGUCAUGAUUGAAAAAACAAAGCGACUCUCGCGCACACACACACCUGGACACAUCGCACUCCCGCAGACCCCGAGUACCCAUCGUAUGUGAAGUGUCAGCUUUCCGCCCCAGCCCAGUUACAGCGCACAUUAUCCCGUCCAUUGGGCUACGUGCAUUACAGCUUUCCGGUCCGCAUACGAACAGCUAUUGCUGCUGCACCGGGGGCGGGGGGAGAACCCCGCGGAGCUGCGAAACAACCCCCGCACGGCAGCGCCGCCGAGAUCGCCGGAGUUUCGUUUGGAAACGGCUUCGGGGACCGACAGUGCCUCCGUGGAACAGACGAGUCGCAGCACGGGCAAUGCGAAUCCCCAGACCGGUCCCCCAGUAGGGUCGGGUGGGGGUGAGUUUUUGAAUCUUCUUUGGUAAUCCUGCGUGGAAGCUGUCAGGCGUGGGGCACUCCAGCAUGUUUAGAGCUCCUACGCAUUUCCAAAUUGAGAGCUGCGACAGACUGUCAUUUUAGGAAGAGAAAAGCUCCCUCCUGUGGAAGACAUGAACCUCUGCUGUGACAAGGAGCAACCAUAAGGGCAUCACAAGGUGAUUUUAAAUUAGCAGGAAAAAAAGGUUACAAGCACUGUGGAACUUUGCAAAUAUUGGAAUGAAAAACCCUUCUCCCUGUUAUUUUUUUUCUCAAAGUAAUUUUUUCAUCUUUUGUAUGAUUUAUAACUGAGAUACGGUUUUAGAAAUAACUGCUGUAAGUAAUAGUGGAUCGUUUAAAUACUAUAAUGUGGCCACAAUGGACUCUUUAAUGUUAAAGGGAUCUAAAGCAGCUGAUAUUUUUUCAGAUUUUGCUUUCUGUAGCUCUUUGCUGAAAAACCGUAGUAUUUUGGACAUUUCUGUCAAUUUGAGUUUGUAGAGCUUACUUGUAAAAAAUUUGUUUCCUUUUUCCUUUUUUCUUAAAGUUUGAUAAUCUGUAUAUCUCAAUGAUCUGUAUUAAAAUGAUUUUGAAUCUUGCUGUGAUUGGUGGUCCUUGGUAGAACGUUCUGCUGAGCUCAAAGCCCUGUGUGAUUUGGAAAAGAAAACUGCAUAGAAGGCAUAAAGAUGAAAUUGUGAUGGAGGGGCUGGAAGUAGAACUUGAUAUAAAAUUCCUGAUAGAAACAGUAUUUUUACCUUUGAGCUGAAUAUGAUUCAUGCUUAUGAUCUGAAGGUAGAAGGCUCUAGCUCAUUAGCAUAUUAAUAAAACCUUGAGGCAUUUACUUCCAUAAAUGCUAAUGUUAUUCCCCUGAGAAUGAAGCACUUUUGGGGAGGGGGAGAUGGAUCUUUAGUAUUCUAAUGGAGUUUUAAUUUUACCAAUUCCAAUUCAUUGUCAACUAGAGCAGACUGAGACAGCACCGAGUGCUCUGACCCGCUGCAAAAAACUGUUGUGUUGAGACUGGGUAUUGGGAUCCUGUCCAUUGGCCAAAUGGUAAAUUGUCAUCUUGUUCAGAGAGAGCUGGGUUCUAGCUUGUGCCACACAGUAGCUUAAGUUUGGUUACAAAAGCAUGGGAUUAGCAAUGGCAUGUAAUGAUGAAGUGAGAUUUAGUUCUGUCUUUAGAAAUGUUAUGGUGUACCUGCUUAUUUUGAUAGAGUUUGGAGACAUCUUUGAAGAAGGGAAUGGUUACUGUGUUAAGGUAGUAUUAUCUUUAUUUAUGAGAACUGUUAAGAUGUUAUAGUUUGGGUGAGCAGUCCUAAUGAUUGUGCUUUCAAAAAUGCAAGCUCCCGAACUUGUGGGCAAGCAGAAAUUCUCAUGAGGCUGCAUGUAACAAAGGCUCAAGUCAGAGUCAUGAGAGAUGUUGCCAGAAGUGCCUUAUCAGUGAGGUUCGGUGCUGUGUGAGCUCCCUUGGAUCCCUCUGACCACAGAGCACUCACUGGCUGCUGCUCUUCAGGUGCCAGUUUGGAUUAAAGAAAAUCAGCAAUAGCAAAGGGGAGUCCCUCUCACAUAGAAGUAUUUGCACUGGGUUCUGCGAGGCUGGAGUGUUUGUGUGGGAGGGGAAGUGGUCUGUGCAGCUCAUAUGGGGAUGGGGAGGCUUUUACAUAUGGCUUACAGCUCACUAAUGGCUCCUAGGAUUGAAAGUUCCUUCCUGGUACAUAUGAGUCACCGUGCCUGGAGGGAUUAAGAUGUGUGGACGUGGCAUUUGGGGACAUGGUUCAGCGGUGCACUUGGCAGAGUUAACAAUUGCACUGGAUGAUCUUAAACAUCUUUUAUAACCCAACUAAUUCUACAGUUCUGUAUUUCCUGUUAGUAGCUCCAUCUAUCGAUUGGCUGGAGUAUUUCUGAUUGCUGCUUUUUUCCCUAUGGCAAUUUUUGUCUGGUUUCUUAAGAAAUUGAAACUUGUAUCAAGCACACUUUGUCUUGCUCUUCUCCUUUCUCUGCACCCCUCCACUCCAAAUAUUAGACUUUUUAAAUGAAAAUUGAUUACUGAGUUGCUUUAGUUUAUGAAAUUACAAACCUGAACACAGUACACUGGAUGAAAUUAGUUUCCCUAAUGAUAGAGGGGCUGCAUCAUGAGUUGAACUCUAAUGUUAUAACACCAGGGAAUCCACAGGAGAUGGACAGGAAAUUAGUCUCUAUGUCCUGUGGUUCACUAUGACACACUAAGAGAACAAAAAAGUUUUACUGUUUUUAGUAUUCAUAUGGCAGUGAUUUCUGCAAAGCAACUGUGAUCUGGAAGAAAUGGCUUUAAAUCUCUGAAUCCUCAGCAGUUAAUUUUCUUUUACUGGACCUGUGGGAAUUGAAAUAAUUGUAAAAAUACAGAGGAGAAAACUUACCAGAGCUGGAUAUUUACUCUUGACUGGAAUGACUACUAAUUUGCACUUGCUCAUUUUAAAUAAAGUCUUGUUUGAAAACUUG